rnacentral:lncRNA from 1 species
AAUAAAUGCGGAAAAUAAAAAUCACACAAGACUUACGUGGGAAAACUCCAACUUGGAGUAAAAAACCCACGGGACCAACACGCGAUAACAAUCCGCUAAGAAUAAAAGAUUACAAGGUGAUUUACCGAAUCCACGGACUCAAACCUCUCUUUUAUCUUCUCCGGAUAUCGCGCACACCAACGGGUUGUCCACGCUCCACGUCCGAAUCUACGAACGCCACGUCCCGAAUCCACGAAACGUCACCACUUCGAAUCCACGAAGCCUCGAUCAUGUCGAAUCCAUGAUGCCCACUCGAAUCCACGAGCCCACGAUCCGAAUCCACGAACCGCCUUCGUUCACGCCAAAUCCACGACACCGUUCAUGAAGAGCAUCAUGAUUAUGGUGAUCCUUCACUUAGAGUAUCGAUGAAAACCAGGAAAGAGAUCUCCAAGCGAAGUGAAGAUCAAAUCGACAUAUAGAUAUGAAAUUUCAAUAUCUCGAUUUGACCUAAAAGAGGCUAAUAUGUAGAAAAUAGGUUUUAGAUGAAAUCCGAGCCUCUAGGGUUUCUCAAACAUGUAUUUUCGUGAUGCUUGAUAAGUUAGAGAACCCCAAUAGCUUAUUUAUAGACUUUA